CCUACGGGAGGCAGCAGUAAGGAAUAUUGGUCAAUGGACGCAAGUCUGAACCAGCCAUGCCGCGUGAAGGAUGAAGGUCCUCUGGAUUGUAAACUUCUUUUAUAGGGGACGAAAAAAGGGAAUUCUUUCUCACUUGACGGUACCCUAGGAAUAAGCACCGGCUAACUCCGUGCCAGCAGCCGCGGUAAUACGGAGGGUGCAAGCGUUAUCCGGAUUCACUGGGUUUAAAGGGUGCGUAGGUGGGCAUUUAAGUCAGUGGUGAAAUCUCCGGGCUUAACCCGGAAACUGCCAUUGAUACUAUUUGUCUUGAAUAUUGUGGAGGUAAGCGGAAUAUGUCAUGUAGCGGUGAAAUGCUUAGAUAUGACAUAGAACACCCUUUAUGCGAAGGCAGCUUACUACGCAAAUAUUGACACUGAGGCACGAAAGCGUGGGGAUCAAACAGGAUUAGAUACCCUGGUAGUCCACGCCCUAAACGAUGGAUACUCGACAUCAGCGAUACACAGUUGGUGUCUGAGNGAAGANAUAGUAUCCACCGNGGAGACGACGCGAGUAGUUAAGUUAAAGUAAGUUAGAGNGNGNGNGNGCGAGACGACGACGAGGAGAGG
rnacentral:rRNA from 1 species